rnacentral:rRNA from 1 species
UACAGAGGUGGCAAGCGUUGUUCGGAAUUACUGGGCGUAAAGGGCGCGUAGGCGGUCCGAUAAGUCCCGUGUGAAAUCCCUCGGCUCAACUGAGGAACCGCACGGGAAACUGCCGGGCUUGAGUUCGGGAGAGGGAAGCGGAAUUCCGGGUGUAGCAGUGAAAUGCGUAGAUAUCCGGAGGAACACCGGUGGCGAAGGCGGCUUCCUGGACCGACACUGACGCUGAGGCGCGAAAGCUAGGGGAGCAAACGGG